AAAUAAAAAAAAAAAAAAUUACUUUUUUAUUCCAUCUCACAAAAAUUAUUUCUCUCAAAUUUGUUAUAUUCUAUUAUUAAAAAAUUUUUAUAAAUUUAAAAUAUAAAUAAUAUCUUUAAAUUUUAAAAAGUAAAAUAUUUUUUUUACCUUUUGUAUCAGGGAUACUCUAACUCCCCCUAAAAAUUAGUGCUUCUCGAAAUAAAAAAAUCUAAUCUUAUAAGUAAUACUUAAUAUCUCAUAAUUAUUAAAAAUAUAAAAUUAGAAACAAUAUAUUAAACAAUUUUUAUGAUAUCUAGUUAUUUAAUAAAUAAAUUUAAUUUAAGUUUAUUAAUCUUGUAUGAAAAUAAUAAUAUUUUCAUAUUAAUAAUAAACAAAUAAUUCAGGGGAUAAGCUCUGAGUUAGCCCUAAAAUAUUAGCUGUUAAAUAAUACAAAUAUAAUUAUAAAAAUAAAAUUCUAUUAAAAAAAAUCUAAUAAUUUAUACUAUAUUAACUUUAAUCUAAUUUAACUAAAAUUUAGAAAAAUAUUAAAUUAAAUCUUUUAACUCCACAAAUAUUAAAAUAAUGAUUAUAUUAAUAAAUUUUUCUUAUAAAAAUAUUUAUCAUAAAAAUAAAUUUUACAAGGAACUCGGCAACUCGAAUAAUUAACCACGUUAAUUUAUGAUACUCACCUGUUUACCAAAAACAUGUCUUAAAGACCUUAAUUUUAAGUCCAAUCUGCUCAAUGAAUUUUAAAUAGCUGCAGUAUUCCUGACUGUACUAAGGUAGCAUAAUAAUUAGGCUUUUAAUUUAAGUCUUGAAUGAAAGAUUAAAUGAAGUAUCUACUGUCUCACUAAAUUUAAUUUAACUUAAUUUUUAAGUCAAAAAUCUUAAAUUACAUUAAAAGACGAGAAGACCCCGUAGAAUUUUAUACCUAAUCGUAAUAAUUUAAAUAUAUUAAAAUUAUGAUUAUUAUGACUAAAUAUUUAAUUGGGGAAAUUUUAAAACUAAAAAAACUUUUAAUUUAACUCUUACAUAAAUUAAUGGCCUCUACAACCUAAUUCUAGAAAAAAAAAUUAAUUACCUCGGGGAUAACAGCAUAAUUUUUUUCCGGAGUUCUCAUCUAAAAAAAAGUUUAUGACCUCGAUGUUGAAUUAAGAUUUAAUUAAAACGAAAAAUUUUUAUAAUUUUAGUCUGUUCGACUAUUAAGAUCUUACAUGAUUUGAGUUAAGAUCGGCGUAAGCCAGAUCGGUUUCUAUCUUUAACCUACCUAAAUAUAUUUGUACGAAAGGAAUUUAUAUUUUAAAUAAUUUUAUAGAUACUAAUUAU
rnacentral:rRNA from 1 species